GUUUGAAGUACCACACUGAGGUGAGGACUUAAAAAUGAUAAGACGAGUUCCCUAUUUUAUAAGAAAAAUAAGCCAAAAUUAAAUAUUCUUUUGGAUAUAAAUUUCAACAGUGAGAUAGCUGCCUAGUGGAAAUGAAUAAUAUCCCAGCCACUAGUGUACAGGGUGUUUUGUGGCACAGGAUUAUGUAAUAUGGAACUGCUCAAGCAAAUAACUAGUCAUCACAACAGCAGUUCUUUGUAAUAACUGAAAAAGAAUAUUGUUUCUCGGAGAAGGAUGUCAAAAGAUCGGCCCAGCUCAGGGAGCAGUUUGCCCUACUAGCUCCUCGGACAGCUGUAAGAAGAGUCUCUGGCUCUUUAGAAUACUGAUCCCAUUGAAGAUACCACGCUGCAUGUGUCCUUAGUAGUCAUGUCUCCUUAGGCUCCUCUUGGACAUUCUGAGCAUGUGAGACCUGAGGACUGCAAACAGCUAUAAGAGGCUCCAAAUUCAUCAUAUCUUUCCCUUUGAGAAUCUGGCCAAGCUCCAGCUAAUCUACUUGGAUGGGUUGCCAGCUAUCUGGAGAAAAAGGUUGGUAGCCAGAAUAUAACAGCUCCGCACAACUGUAAAUGUCCACUCUUCAAUCCACAUGAAGAAAAGGAUCUUCCUCAGAAGAAUAGGCUUGUUGCUUUACAGUGUUAGUGAUCCAUUCCCUUUGACGAUCCCUAGGUGGAGAUGGGGCAUGAGGAUCCUCCAGGGGAAAAGCUCACUACCACUGGGCAACAACCCUAGGUCAGGAGGUUCUGUCAAGAUACUUUCCUGGUCCCAGAUAGGAAGAUAAAGUCUCAAAAACAACCACCACACGUCAAGCUCUUCAUUGUUCCUACCUGCCAAAUCAUUAUACUUCCUACAAGCAGUGCAGAGAGCUGAGUCUUCAGCAGGUCCAAGAAAUUUGAACACACUGAAGGAAGUCAGCCUUCCCACCUGAAGAUCAACAUGCCUGGCACUCUAGCACUUGAGGAUAGCUGAAUGAAUGUGUCUUACCCAUUUCCAUGUUUCUCUUGCUAAUUUCUUUCGUGUGUGCCUUUGCCUCAUUUUCUCUUUUUGUUCACAAGAGUGGUCUGUGUCUUGUCUUAGACAUAUCUCUCAUUUUUCAUUUUGUUGCUAUUUCUCUUUGCUCUCCUAGAUGUGGCUCUUCUUUCACGCUUUAUUUCAUGUCUCCUUUUUGGGUCACAUGCUGUGUGCUUUUUGUCCUUUUCUUGUUCUGUCUACCUCUCCUUUCUCUGCCUACCUCUCUUUUCUCUUUGUGAACUGUGAUUAUUUGUUACCCCUUCCCCUUCUCGUUCGUUUUAAAUUUCACCUUUUUUCUGAGUCUGGCCUCCUUUCUGCUGUUUCUACUUUUUAUCUCACAUUUCUCAUUUCUGCAUUUCCUUUCUGCCUCUCUUGGGCUAUUCUCUCUCUCCUCCCCUGCGUGCCUCAGCAUCUCUUGCUGUUUGUGAUUUUCUAUUUCAGUAUUAAUCUCUGUUGGCUUGUAUUUGUUCUCUGCUUCUUCCCUUUCUACUCACCUUUGAGUAUUUCAGCCUCUUCAUGAAUCUAUCUCCCUCUCUUUGAUUUCAUGUAAUCUCUCCUUAAAUAUUUCUUUGCAUAUGUGGGCAAGUGUACGUGUGUGUGUGUCAUGUGUGGCAGAGGGGCUUCCUAACCCCUGCCUGAUAGGUGCAGAACGUCGGCUAUCAGAGCAAGCAUUGUGGAGCGGUUCCUUAUGCCAGGCUGCCAUGUGAGAUGAUCCAAGACCAAAACAAGGCCCUAGGCUGCAGUAAAACCCAAAACUCAAGUAGGGCAGAAGGUGGAAGGCUCAUAUGGAUAGAAGGCCCAAAGUAUAAGACAGAUGGUUUGAGACUUGAGACCCGAGGACUAAGAUGGAAAGCCCAUGUUCCAAGAUAGAUAGAAGCCUCAGGCCUGAAACCAACAAAAGCCUCAAGAGCCAAGAAAACAGAGGGUGGCCUGAAUUGGACCGAAGGCCUGAGUUGGAUGGAAGUCUCAAGGCUUGAGUUAGAAGUCUUAAGACCUGGGACAGGACACAUGGAAGGCCUAAGAACUGAGACUUGUGACACAAGGCCAACGAUCUAAGAUUAGCCCAGGGUUGUAGCUGGAAGACCUACAACCCAAGGAUGGAAGGCCCCUGUCACAAAGCCUACCUAGAUGGAUAGAGGACCCAAGCGAAAAAGGUAUCUCAAGACUAAAGGCUGGAAUCUGGAGGCCCAUGACCCAGAACCCAGGAAGGAUAGAAGCUUGAAGACCUGGGGAAAUCCCAAGAUGAGAACCCUAAACCCUACCUCUUUUCUAUUGUUUACACUUCUUACUCUUAGAUAUUUCCAGUUCUCCUGUUUAUCUUUAAGCCUGAUUCUUUUGAGAUGUACUUUUUGAUGUUGCCGGUUACCUUUAGAUUGACAGUAUUAUGCCUGGGCCAGUCUUGAGCCAGCUUUAAAUCACAGCUUUUACCUAUUUGUUAGGCUAUAGUGUUUUGUAAACUUCUGUUUCUAUUCACAUCUUCUCCACUUGAGAGAGACACCAAAAUCCAGUCAGUAUCUAAUCUGGCUUUUGUUAACUUCCCUCAGGAGCAGGCAUUCAUAUAGGUGAUACUGUAUUUCAGUCCUUUCUUUUGACCCCAGAAGCCCUAGACUGAGAAGAUAAAAUGGUCAGGUUGUUGGGGGAAAAAAAGUGCCAGGCUCUCUAGAGAAAAAUGUGAAGAGAUGCUCCAGGCCAAUGAGAAGAAUUAGACAAGAAAUACACAGAUGUGCCAGACUUCUGAGAAGCACCUGCCAGCAACAGCUUCCUUCUUUGAGCUUAGUCCAUCCCUCAUGAAAAAUGACUGACCACUGCUGGGCAGCAGGAGGGAUGAUGACCAACUAAUUCCCAAACCCCAGUCUCAUUGGUACCAGCCUUGGGAAACCACCCACACUUGAGCCACAAUUGGUUUUGAAGUGCAUUUACAAGUUUCUGGCAUCACUACCACUACUGAUUAAACAAGAAUAAGAGAACAUUUUAUCAUCAUCUGCUUUAUUCACAUAAAUGAAGUUGUGAUGAAUAAAUCUGCUUUUAUGCAGACACAAGGAAUUAAGUGGCUUCGUCAUUGUCCUUCUACAUCAAAGAUAAUUUAUUCCAAAAGCUAAGAUAAAUGGAAGACUCUUGAACUUGUGAACUGAUGUGAAAUGCAGAAUCUCUUUUGAGUCUUUGCUGUUUGGAAGAUUGAAAAAUAUUGUUCGGCAUGGGUGACCACCAGAAAGUAAUCUUAAGCCAUCUAGAUGUCACAAUUGAAACAAACUGGGG
rnacentral:lncRNA from 1 species